GACAGAGGGUGCAAACGUUGUCCGGAAUUAUUGGGCGUAAAGCGCGCGCAGGCGGUCCUUUAAGUCUGAUGUGAAAGCCCACGGCUCAACCGUGGAGGGUCAUUGGAAACUGGGGGACUUGAGUGCAGAAGAGGAAAGCGGAAUUCCACGUGUAGCGGUGAAAUGCGUAGAGAUGUGGAGGAACACCAGUGGCGAAGGCGGCUUUCUGGUCUGUAACUGACGCUGAGGCGCGAAAGCGUGGGGAGCAAACAGG
rnacentral:rRNA from 1 species